rnacentral:rRNA from 1 species
GAUGAACGCUGGCGGCGUGCCUAAUACAUGCAAGUCGAGCGAAGCGGGGACGGGUGCGUAAUACGUGGAUAACCUCCUAUACGACUGGGAUAACUUCGGGAAACCGGAGCUAAACUGGAUACUUAUAGAUGGAACUACGGUGCAUCAGCUAGUUGGUAAGGUAACGGCUUACUAGGGCAACGAUGCAUAGCCGGCCUGUGAGGGUGAUCGGCCACACGGGUACUGAGGCUCGGUACAGACUCCUAGGGGAGGCAGCAGUAGGUUAUCUGCCGCAGUGUGCGAAAGCCUGACGGAGCAACGCCGCGUAAGUGGUGAAGGUUAUGGGAUCGUAAAACUCUGUUAUGAUGGAAGGGGUACCUAAUCAGAAAGCCACGGCUAACUACGUGCCAGCGGCCGCGGUAAUUC